rnacentral:lncRNA from 1 species
CCUUGGCUCGCUGGCCUUGGCUGCGGCUCCUCGGGAGAGCUGGGGCGCCCACGAGAGGAUCCCUCACCUGGGUCUCUCCUCAGGGAUGACAUCAUCCGUCCACCUCCUUGUCUUCAAGGACCACCUCCUCUCCAUGCCGAGCUGCUGCCAAGGGGCCUGCUGCCCAUCUACACCUCACGAGGGCACUAGGAGCACGGAUUCCUGGAUCCCACCAACAUACAAAGCAGCCACUCACAGACCCCCAGGACCAGGAUGGCAAAGGAUGAAGAGGACCGGAACUGACCUGCCAGCUGUCCCUCUUACCUAAAGACUUAAACCAAUGCCCUAGUGAGGGGGCAUUGGACAUUAAGCCCUGACUUUUGCUAUGCUCAUGCUUUGACUCUAUGAGUACUUUCCUAUAAGUCUUCGCUUGUGUUCACCUGCUAGCAAACUGGAGUGUUUCCCUCCCCAAGGGGGUGUCAGUCUUUGUCGACUGACUCUGUCAUCACCCUUAUGAUGUCCUGAAUGGAAGGAUCCCUUUGGGAAAUUCUCAGGAGGGGGACCUGGGCCAAGGGCUUGACCAGCAUCCUGCUGGCAACUCCAAGGCCCUGGGUGGGCUUCUGGAAUGAGCAUGCUACUGAAUCACCAAAGGCAUGCCCCACCUCUCUGGAGAUCUUCCUAUCCUUUUCUGGGGAAUGGGGUCAAUGGGAGCAACCUCCUAGGGUUGUUGUGAGAAUUAAAUGAGAUAAAAGAGGCCUCAGGCAGGAUCUGGCAUAGAGGAGGUGAUCAGCAAAUGUUUGUUGAAAAGGUUUGACAGGUCAGUCCCUUCCCACCCCUCUUGCUUGUCUUACUCGUCUUAUUUAUUCUCCAACAGCACUCCAGGCAGCCCUUGUCCACGGGCUCUCCUUGCAUCAGGACGAAUAAUUUAUGGUCAGUGAAAAUCCAGGCCCCAGUGAGAUUCGAGUGGGCUGUAAAAUCGAGAGUCCUGCUCCCACAGGUUCCCAGUGCCCCCGACAAGCCCCUGCUGGUGUCUCCAUCUCCUGCCAAGCAUCCUGCAAUGCCGCCUCCUGUGGGCCUGGCCUCAGGGCUAUGGACAGACUCCUGUCCCAUCCCAGAGACCCCUCGUGAUCGUGCCCUGGCACGUGGGCCGCGGCCCAGCUGGGUCGGCUGAAGAACUGCGGAUGGAAGCUGUGGAAGAGGCCCUGAUGGGGCCCACCAUCCCGGACCCGAGUCUUCUUCCUGGAGGGCCUCUCGUCUCCUUCCUGUUUUGGGCGGAAGCCAUCACCUGGAUUCCUACGUGGGAAGGGACCUCGAAUGUGCGACCCCAGCCCCUCUCCAGCUCGAAAUCCCUCCACAGCCACGGGGACGCCCUGCACCUAUUCCCACGGGACAGGCUGGACCCAGAGACUCUGGACCCGGGGCCUCCCCUUGAGUAGAGACCCGCCCUCUGACUGAUGGACGCCGCUGACCUGGGGUCAGACCCGAGGGCUGGACCCCUGCCCACCCCGCAGGAACCCUGAGGCCUAGGGGAGCUGUUGAGCCUUCAGUGUCUGCAUGUGGGAAGUGGGCUCGUUCACCUACCUCACAGGGCUGUUGUGAGGGGCGCUGUGAUGCGGUUCCAAAGCACAGGGCUUG